rnacentral:rRNA from 1 species
AGGACGAACGCUGGCGGCGCGCCUAACACAUGCAAGUGGAGCGACGACCCGGGCUUCGGCCCGGUGCAAAGCCGCGAACGGGUGAGUAACACGUGGGUAACCUGCCCUGAUGAUCGGGACAACUCGAGGAAACUCGGGCUAAUACCGAAUGUGCCCUCCGGCCGUAAGGUCUCUGGGGAAAGGAAGCUUCGGCCUCCGCAUCGGGAUGGGCCCGCGGCCCAUUAGCUUGUUGGUGAGGUAACGGCUCACCAAGGCAACGAUGGGUAGCUGGUCUGAGAGGACGAUCAGCCACACUGGGACUGAGACACGGCCCAGACUCCUACGGGAGGCAGCAGUGGGGGAAUAUUGGACAAUGGGCGCAAGCCUGAUCCAGCCAUGCCGCGUGAGUGAUGAAGGCCCUAGGGUUGUAAAGCUCUUUUGUGCGGGAAGAUAAUGACGGUACCGCAAGAAUAAGCCCGGCUAACUUCGUGCCAGCAGCCGC